GCCUGGGUGGCUCAGUCGGUUGAGCGUCCGACUUCGGCUCAGGUCAUGAUCUCGCGGUCUGUGGGUUCGAGCCCCGCGUCGGGCU
rfam:Felis catus isolate Cinnamon breed Abyssinian chromosome C2, whole genome shotgun sequence.